rfam:Tupaia chinensis contig30663, whole genome shotgun sequence.
ACUGAGGCUAGAGCCUCGCUUGGGUAUCAACUUUUGCCUCAGUGUGCUGGAACCCCCAGAAUAACGCCUGCCCUUAUUCACUGGCUGUGGGCUUCGUGGCACAGUCAGCAGGUUAAUGACAUCC